GCGCAACCCCUAUUGUUAGUUGCCAUCAUUCAGUUGGGCACUCUAGCGAGACUGCCGGUAAUAAACCGGAGGAAGGUGGGGAUGACGUCAAAUCAUCAUGCCCCUUAUGACCUGGGCUACACACGUGCUACAAUGGUUGGUACAACGAGUUGCGAGUCGGUGACGGCGAGCUAAUCUCUUAAAGCCAAUCUCGGUUCGGAUUGUAGGCUGCAACUCGCCUACAUGAAGUCGGAAUCGCUAGUAAUCGCGGAUCAGCACGCCGCGGUGAAUACGUUCCCGGGCCUU
rnacentral:rRNA from 1 species